UAUUUUCACGCAUGUGCUUUGCCAAAACAGUGUCUCCCUUUUUGCAAUGUCUGCAUACAUUAUUAGAAUAGAUUGAAGUACACGAAAGCAUGUAUUAUUAACAGCAUUAUUUCUUUUUUCUGAAUUUUAGAAUUUUUACAACAUAAAUUUGAUAUAUGAUAUACAUAUAUCUUAAAAAAAAUAUAUAUUUUAGUAAUUGUUUUUCUUAACGUACUGUUCAAAGAGUAUCAUACAAAAUGAAACAAAUUCUUUGCGGCAAAAUAGGAGACAGGAUUGUGCUGAUUUCAAAGACAUCACGAUAUCCUGUACCUCUAUUUAAUACAAAAAAUUUAACAUCGGGUAGAAUGAAUAAAACUUGUCGACCAUUAUUAGCAUCACCACAUAUACGUUACUUUGGAAAUCCCAAUCGUGCAUAUGCAAUGUUUAUUGGAAGAAUUUUAAAAGGAGCAUUGAAAAUUCGAUAUCUUUUAUUAGGUGGAGCAGUUGGUAGUGGAGUAACUUUGCAAAAGAAAUAUGAACAAUGGAAGGAAGUUAUGCCAGACAUGAGCUGGUUAGAUGAUAUAUUUCCUAAUGAACAAAAAUGGAAAGAUAUUCGCGAAUCUCUUAUGGUUGUUAAAAACAUUUUUCCAGAAAAAAUAGAAUUUGAUCCACGUAUAAAGCAACUUGGGGAAGCUAAAUAUAGGGAAUACAAAGAAUGGUUUAAUCAAAGACUGGAUGAUGCUAUCAAGGCAGCUGAAGUUAAUCAAACUCAAGCAGGUCUGGAUAUUUCCUCUAAUCGUAUAUUUGACGCAAUCUCAUCAAUAAUAUAUCAACUUUAUUCAGAAACAAAGCAGCAAGUGGUGAAUAAUACUGUAGCAUUUGCACGACCAUUAGCCGAUGAUACUAUCGAAGAGGAACGUAAGAAAGCUCAAAAGUCACAAGAACGAUUGAGUGCUAUGCAAGAGGAAGUAAUGCAAAUACAAUCUAAAUAUCAACGUGAAUUAGAACGAUUAGAGAGAGAAAAUAAAGAACUUCGAAAGCAAAUGCUUCUACGUGGUAAUCAAAAAAUGAGCAACAAGAAAAUAAAGAAAUCUUUAAUUGAUAUGUAUAGUGAUGUCCUAGACGAACUUAGUGAUUAUGAUAGUGCCUAUUCAACAGCUGAUCAUUUACCAAGAGUGGUAGUAGUUGGUGAUCAAAGUUCUGGUAAAACAUCUGUGUUAGAAAUGAUUGCCCAAGCAAGAAUAUUUCCCAGAGGAGGUGGUGAAAUGAUGACAAGAGCACCUGUUAAAGUCACUUUAAGUGAGGGUCCAUAUCAUAUAGCUCAAUUUAAAGAUAGUUCCAGAGAAUUUGAUUUGACAAAAGAGUCAGAAUUAGCUGAAUUAAGACGUGAAGUAGAAUUACGUAUGAAAAAUAGUGUUAAGAAUGGUAAAACUGUUAGCCAGGAUGUAAUUUCAAUGACAGUAAAAGGACCAGGUCUUCAACGCAUGGUUCUUGUUGAUUUACCUGGUAUAAUUAGUACAGUUACAGUUGACAUGGCAGAAGAUACACGUGAGGCUAUUCGACAAAUGACUCAACAAUAUAUGAGCAAUCCUAAUGCCAUUAUUCUUUGUAUCCAAGAUGGCUCUGUGGAUGCUGAAAGAAGUAAUGUAACAGAUCUUGUUGCUCAAAUGGAUCCUAGUGGCAAACGAACUAUUUUUGUUUUAACUAAGGUAGAUUUAGCAGAAGAAAAUUUAGCUAAUCCUGAACGUGUCCGCAAAAUACUAUCUGGCAAGUUAUUUCCUAUGAAAGCAUUAGGUUAUUUUGCUGUUGUUACUGGUCGAGGUAGACAGGAUGAUACUAUACAAACAAUCAAAGAUUACGAAGAAAAAUUUUUCAGAAAUUCUAAACUUUUCAAAGAUGGUUUAGUUAUGUCCGGUCAAGUUACGACGAGAAAUUUGAGUCUUGCAGUUGCAGAAUGCUUUUGGAAGAUGGUUCGUGAAACUGUAGAACAACAAGCAGAUGCAUUUAAAGCUACUAGAUUUAAUCUUGAAACGGAAUGGAAAAAUAAUUUCCCAAGAUUAAGAGAAUUGGACAGAGAUGAACUUUUUGAAAAAGCAAGAGGAGAAAUUUUAGAUGAAAUUGUAAAUCUGUCCCAAGUUUCGCCUAGACAUUGGGAAGAAGUGUUAAUGGUCAGAAUUUGGGACAAAGUUAGCAUGCACGUAUUUGAAAACAUCUAUUUACCCGCAGCUCAAAGCGGAAGUCCAAGCACAUUUAAUACUACCGUUGAUAUAAAACUUCGUCAGUGGGCUGAACAACAAUUGCCAGCUCGAAGUGUCGAAAGCGGUUGGGAAUGUUUACAACAAGAAUUUCAACAUUUUAUGAACCAAGCAAAACUUAGUCCUGAUCAUGAUGAUAUUUUUGAUAAUUUAAAAAAUGCAGUAGUCAGUGAAGCUAUGAGACGACAUUUUUGGGAAGAAAAAGCAUCUGAAAUGUUACGAGUUAUUCAACUAAAUACUUUAGAGGAUAGAAGUGUAAAUGAUAAACGUGAUUGGGAUCAAGCAGUCCGUUUUCUAGAAACUUCGGUUAAAGAGAAAUUGCAAGCUACAGAACAAAUUUUACGAGAUAUGCUAGGUCCAGGUCGCAAGGAACGAUGGCUGUACUGGCAAAAUCAAAGUGAAGAACAACAGAAACGCGUAGCAGUGAAGAAUGAAUUAGAUAAAAUUCUCUAUGCAGAUAAAAAACAUACUCCUACCCUCACUCAAGAUGAACUCACAACCAUUAGAAAAAACGUGCAACGAAAUGGUUUGGAAAUCGAUAAUGAAUUUAUUCGAGAAACAUGGCAUCCGGUAUACAGAAGAUUUUUCUUGCAACAAAGUUUAGCUAGAGCAUAUGAUUGUAAAAAGGGAUAUUAUCUUUAUCAUACUGGACAUGAAAGUGAAAUGGAAUGCAAUGAUGUUGUUUUAUUUUGGAGAAUCCAACAAAUGCUUAAGGUUACUGCUAAUGCACUUCGACAACAAAUUAUGAAUCGAGAAGCUCGUAGAUUAGAUAAAGAAAUAAAGGAGGUAUUAGAAGAUUACAGUCAAGAUAGCGAAAUAAAACAAAAAUUAUUGACUGGUAGACGUGUUACAUUAGCUGAGGAAUUAAAACGUGUAAGACAAAUUCAAGAAAAAUUAGAAGAAUUCAUCCAAGCAUUAAAUAAAGAAAAAUGAAGAAAUUUAUAAUCUAGAAAUUUAAACUCAUGAUACUGUGCCAUCGCAGUCGAUAUAAAAUUAAAUAUACAUACAUUUGGCAGGAAUGUUUCUCUCCUCAUUAUUUACGGUACACUCAUUCAGAGUUAGGCAGAAUUCUAUCCAAUAAGCAGUAUAAGAAUGAUUAUAAUUAACCCUGGAAUACUAAAAUGGAACAUCGCAUUCCCCAAUAACUUCAUUGGUCAAACUCGAAUAAUGCCUAACUCCGUGAUACACUUAUUGGGGUCGACAAACCAGCAAUAAAUAGCGUAACACGUUUAUAAAUAAGGACUGUACCGAUAUAUUGUUCUAAGUAUAAACAUUAUGUAUGUAUAUAUAUAUAUAUAUAUAUGUACAAUUAUUUGGUAAUACAUCAUUGGUAACGCGCAAUUGGCUGCAAAUCAAAGAGGAAAAAGCGUUUUCGUAAAUGGAUGAAAUAAACCAUAUUUCCAUCUUUUGCAUUGCAACAUCAUCAUGUAUCAAAUCUUUUAAUAUUUUAUAUUUUUAUAUUUUAUGACGUUGACUUAUUAUAUCUGAGAAAAAAUGAGCAUAUUGUCCAAUAAUCAGAACAAUGAGAAAUUUGUAUAGUAAAAGGGGAAAAUGCUCAUUUGUAAAACUAGAUUCUUCUUUUCUUUUUUUUUUUUUUUCUUAUCUCUGUUACGAUCUUGGAAUUUUUAUAUUCCAAUCUUACUUUCACUUCAAUUAAAAAAGAAAUUUUUUAAUACUUUAAGAAAGCUCAGCACAUAAAAUUGAAGCGAGAAAUAAUACAUAUGUAUACAUUAACGAUUAUUUUAUAUUUUUCUUAAGCUUAAAAAAAUUAGAUAAAAAAAAAUACUAUUUAGUAGAAAACAAUCCAUAUAACAGGGUUAAAUAUAAUACUAGCAGUACGGAGCAAUCUUAAAGUGUGCCCUUGAUUCUUUUCUGUAAAAAAAAAAUUGAUUAUGUCUUCACCGCGUUACUUGUAUCCUGCACAUCUGGAAUUAGGUCAAUAGUGCCAUCAUUUUGUUCUAUCUCUGCUGUAUUAUAACCAGAAAAAGAACAUGCAGGUGCACUUCUAGCUGUGGUCACCGAAGCUUCUGGAAGUAAAGAAGUGCGUUCCGUUGCACUUCCCCAGGCUUGUUGAUAAGCGCUUCGACCACGUAUUCUACGACUUAACGAGGAUCCUACUACUCCCAAGUGUUCUUUUAUAUCAUUAUGAACAUCGGAAACAUCCCACAUAGCCCUGAACACGGAAAGUAUAUUUUUUUUAUAGGUACAAUCAAAAAAUAAUAAAUUUUUAUUUCUAAAAAUAUUAGAAUUUUUAUAAAUUUAAUUUUUUAGCUACAAAUAAUUGUAAUCAUUUAAAAUAAUGAAAGAAUAAACUUAUUCAAAAUUGUAAAGAAUAUAAAAAA